GUCCAUACAUUACACACAAAUACAUACUUAUGUUAGUGUAUACAUUAGUUGUCGUAAUCAUUAUAAUUUUUUUAGUUGGACCUUUUGAAAUAUGAUGUGGCAGUUGGAGCGGUCUGCAGCCACGGACACUGGACGUUGAUUAUCAUGUACCUAAAGGAGAGGCGGUCCCUGUUCGUGGACCCAUAUGGGGCCACAGACGCAUAGAUAGAAACAUGCAAAGACGUAACAAGAGCAUUGGUCCGCAAAAAGUGUCCGAAAAUAGGGAGAUGGGCAUGCGCAACCGUUGCUCACCCUAAGCAACAGGACUCGGCAUCAUGCGGGGUGUUUGUGUGCAAGCUUGCAGAGCAGAUAUUGUCUGGGCAAAAUAUUGACUACCCUGUUGACCAGAAGGGUG